GACGAAGGGGGCUAGCGUUGUUCGGAAUUACUGGGCGUAAAGCGCGUGUAGGCGGCUAAGUAAGUCGGGCGUGAAAUCCCACGGCUCAACCGUGGAAGUGCACUCGAAACUGCAUAGCUAGAGUCCUGGAGAGGAAGGUGGAAUGCUUGGUGUAGAGGUGAAAUUCGUAGAUAUCAAGCGGAACACCGGUGGCGAAGGCGGCCUUCUGGACAGUGACUGACGCUGAGACGCGAAAGCGUGGGGAGCAAACAGG
rnacentral:rRNA from 1 species